AUUGAACGCUGGUGGCAGGCCUAACACAUGCAAGUCGAGCGGAUGACGGGAGCUUGCUCCUUGAUUCAGCGGCGGACGGGUGAGUAAUGCCUAGGAAUCUGCCUGGUAGUGGGGGAUAACGUUUCGAAAGGAACGCUAAUACCGCAUACGUCCUACGGGAGAAAGCAGGGGACCUUCGGGCCUUGCGCUAUCAGAUGAGCCUAGGUCGGAUUAGCUAGUUGGUGGGGUAAUGGCUCACCAAGGCGACGAUCCGUAACUGGUCUGAGAGGAUGAUCAGUCACACUGGAACUGAGACACGGUCCAGACUCCUACGGGAGGCAGCAGUGGGGAAUAUUGGACAAUGGGCGAAAGCCUGAUCCAGCCAUGCCGCGUGUGUGAAGAAGGUCUUCGGAUUGUAAAGCACUUUAAGUUGGGAGGAAGGGCAGUAAGUUAAUACCUUGCUGUUUUGACGUUACCGACAGAAUAAGCACCGGCUAACUCUGUGCCAGCCGCCGCAGUAAGAC
rnacentral:rRNA from 1 species